rnacentral:lncRNA from 1 species
AUUCCACACAAGAAGACUAUGGUCACUGCCCUCAGCUUCUACCUCAAAAUCUCAUUCCUAAAAGGGCUUCAGAGAGCUUGUUCCUCCUUUGUCCCCGUCCUCUGGAUUAGACUUGGUCAACCCAAUACUGACUGAACGAGGACAGCACACUGACAGGACCAGAGAUGGACCCUGCAGGAAAGCCAGUACUUGUUCAAAGUAGCAUGGGAAUGGAGUUUGGGAGUCAGGCUGUCAUCUAUGAAUUCCCAGCCUCCACUCAUACCAGGGGUCCCUGGGGGCCCAUCUGACCUAUGCAGCCUGCUUCUUACAUGUACCUGUUGUCACAGGGCCCCUGGAGUGCUGGACCUGUUCAGAGGACUCUUCUGUUGCUGAGAGGGAAACCACCCUCAGGAAGGUUAAUGGAGGCACACCAUCACAGCCAGAAGAUAGCCACCCUUGCAUGGUCACUGUGUUUUGCAUCCAAGAGGGUGUGAUGGUGGUUGACCUGUGACAGUAGCUUCUAUUCUCAAGACUCUACUAUGGACAUACUACCAGAACAUGCCACCUUCAGUUACCCGGGGACCUAGCAUUCUGUCACUGGGAUAAGGGCAUGCUAUAUUGUCCUCUGGAUAAGAAUCAUAGGGGGCUUGGAGGGUGAAAUCCUUAGAAUCCACUUGUACCUCUUGUCCUAGGGAAGAGGCAAGGGGUGGGCUCAGAUGAAGGCAAGUUCAACAUCCCUCAAAUGGGGGAAGCCUGACCUAUACCUACAGGGAGCUGGUGAGGGACUAUUGGGGAGGCUACUUUCCUCUGCCAGGCCACGGGCCAGGCAGUGUCCUGUGACCUCCAUCUCAGGCUCUGUGGUUAGCUUUCAGGCCCCAGAUUCAUGGUUGCUCAUCGCCCAAGAAGACGGGUCUCCUUAUUUCUUUCAGGGAAACCAAGUUACCAGUGAGCCAUGGCUGCUAGGAGACAGAGUCAGGGCUUGAUUGCACGUAGCCUUAGGCCUGGCCUUGUUGGUAGAUACGGCCACCAAAACCAACACUUCCACAGUCUGGCUGGAAUCUUAGUCGUCUGUCCAACUCGGCCCCUUGAAACCAUGAUCACUACCAGCUAGUGUCUUUCAUGGCAAUCCCUAUCAGGCACCCACCCAACCAUUCCCUAUCUGGCUGCCAAAAACCCUACUUUUCUCUUGGGCCUUGACAUAACUGGCCCCACAGACAAGCUUAUGUUACUAUCCUGACUCUAACUUCAGUGAACCUCUGUGAGCCUUAUAAGCAAGGAGGAAGGCAAUGGGGACUGCUGGGUAGAAGGGUCUGGGGAGUGGAGAGAGAGCUUGGAGGAGGAGCAGGCAGCAGGAGUCAGAAAGCUGAGGAGAGGAUUGAAUCUGCCACCCCCUUGCAGAGACCCAACCACACAUUGACUUGAUUGAUCCUAUCUUGAAUUCCUAACUCCCAGAGCCCUUUGCUGUGUACUUUUAAAAGCUGUUGUGUUGGUGGGAGUAUGUUGCCAUUGAAAACUAGAAUCUUUUUUUUUUUUUAAUAAAAUAAAUACCAGCUUCAC